rnacentral:rRNA from 1 species
UUGAUCCUGGCUCAGAAUGAACGCUGGCGGCGUGCUUAACACAUGCAAGUCGAACGAGAAAUCUUUAGCUCGCUAGAGAAAGUAAAGUGGCGCACGGGUGAGUAACGCGUGGGUAAUCUGCCUCCGAAUCGGGGAUAACAUUGCGAAAGCGAUGCUAAUACCGGAUAAAAUCUGGUUGGCUUCGGUGAACCGGAUCAAAGGUGGUCUCUUUAUAAAAGCUACCGUUUGGAGAUGAGCUCGCGUACCAUUAGCUAGUUGGUGAGGUAAAGGCUCACCAAGGCGACGAUGGUUAGCUGGUCUGAGAGGAUGAUCAGCCACACCGGAACUGGAACACGGUCCGGACUCCUACGGGAGGCAGCAGUGAGGAAUUUUGCGCAAUGGGGGAAACCCUGACGCAACAACGCCGCGUGAGUGAUGAAGGCUUUCGGGUCGUAAAGCUCUGUCAGGUGGGAAGAACCCACCAAGUGUUAAGACCACUUGGUGCUGACGGUACCACCGAAGGAAGCACCGGCUAACUCCGUGCCAGCAGCCGCGGUAAUACGGGGGGUGCGAGCGUUAUUCGGAAUCAUUGGGCGUAAAGGGCGCGCAGGCGGUUUUGUAAGUCAGAUGUGAAAUCCCGGGGCUUAACCCCGGAAGUGCAUAUGAAACUAUGAGACUUGAGUAUGGGAGAGGGAAGCGGAAUUCCUGGUGUA